rnacentral:lncRNA from 1 species
CCCGCAUGGCAACGAUCUGUUCCUUGAUAGACCUCAAAAUGUCGGAAUUCAUGGUAGCUACAGGAGUUUUAGGUUGACUGAGAUAGUACUCCAUAUCACUACAGGUUGGCAUGCAAUGAUGACACUGGGUGAUAAUAUGAAAUGCAGUGUCACUAAUGAAACCCUAAUAACUAUAAUGUAGGACCAAAUUUGAUGCAGGACAACCUACUAAUGCAAUCUAUUAUGAUUUCAGAAAUCAGCAAGUCUUCACAAUAAUAACUUAAAAUUUAAAUGUUGCUGAUUUUUACUUCGGUUAUUCAGAAUUAAGGAUUAAGAUUAUUCAAUUUAAGAAGUUAGAUUGCAAUCAAGUAGUACAGU